rnacentral:lncRNA from 1 species
CACAUUCGAUUGAGGAUUCAUCGCCUUAGAGAUCCUGAAGAAUCACCCAAAGACGUUGAAAUUCAGGUGCCUAAUUCUUCUUUUUAAGACUUUUUUGUGAUUUUUGAAUCUUUAAUUUUCUUCCAGUUAUCAGUUUGGUUCCAGGAAAAUUAAUGGAAAAGGAAAGGGAAACUGAAUUUAGCAGAGGAAGAAUCUCUCUACCUCUCCCUCUCUCUCUUCACCGCUCUCACUCUUUGCAAAGGCAACGACCAUAAUUGAUUGAGGACUCAUCACCUUCUAGGCGAGUCUCAAAAGUUGGUCAUCCAUCCUGAAGAAUCACCCAAAGACAUUGAAAUUCAGGUGCCCUAAUUCUCCUUUGGAAGAUUUUUUAUGAUUGGUUGAAUCUUUAAUUUUCUUCCAGUCAAGUCUCUGUUUGGUUCCCAGGAAAAUUAUAGAUUGAGAUCUCAUCGCCUUCGAGGCGAGUCUCAAAAGUUGCUGGUCCGUCUGAAGAAUCGGCUUCGGAUCCUCUGUCCGGCUGUUCUGUCAUCUCUCUGUAGCAAUGUGCAUUGACUGCCAUGUGUCCAU